AGGCAACACCCAAAGCCACUGUCAGAUGUCAUGGAGAUGAGACCUCACAAGCCUACUCAACGUGAAGAUGAUGAGAAUGAAGACCUUUAUGAUGAUCUGCUUCCACUUAAAGAAUAAUCUUUCAUAAGUAGCAUACGGAUAUUCAUUUUUGAUCAAAUUUGGGGAAUCUCUAUUUCAAUAAUGAAGGCCCAUCAUGAUCUGAAGGCAGCGGUGGUUGCUGGUGGAGGAUGUGAGCUUUGGAACUGGAGCUCUUUGAUUCAAAGCUCUGCCGCUUACUCACUGGAUAAGACCAUGAUCAAGUUAUUUCAUCUGAAAAAUUGAGUUGACUGCAGGUAACUGAAACUGCGGAAAGUGAAACUGCAGAUAAGAGGGACCACUGUAAAUAAGUGACAUGAAUGAUACUGCAAAGGACCAUAGCCUAACCAGCCAAGCAAACUGGAAGUACCUUUAGACUCACGCUUUGCCAAGCUCAGUUCCAGAAUCACAUGAUGAAAAGAAUGAUGGAAAGAAAAUGUUUGUGAUAUUAAAAUUAAGGAAAUUACUCCAACUCAGAGUUUCAUCCUAAACUGAGAGACCAACAUCAAAAGAAUCUUCUCAAGUUUCUGAGUGACGGCAAGAAACUAGACUACUGUUACCAAGGAACUUUUUAAAGCAAACUGCUUUUGCUGAUAUGAGGAGAAAGUUAAUUAAUAAGAAAAUACCUUAAAUGUGUUUUGAAGCUGUUAAAGGUGUGUAACAAUUACUCUGAAUUUAUUAUAGCACCAGUUAGAGACCCAGGAAAACUAUAAAAUUGCACAUCAGGGCAGAGCUGAGAGACGACAUCUGCUUUGGGAUUGAAAAAAAAAAAAAAAAAAAAAAAAACAGAAAGGGAACAAGAGAAAUAGCAAGUCAUUUAACAUUUGGAAUUCAGGACUCCAGACUCAUCUAUAGGACCAAACUGCUCUUGAAAUAUACUAGAUUUCCUUUAGCUCCAGAGGUUUUGCCUUCAUCAAAUGCCUGUAACACUCUUAUUGUCAAAAGGAAUAAGUGAUGGUGAACACUGUGCCAGAUAGGAGGUACCACACACAGGUUCAGCAAAAAGCAGAAGCAAGAGGUAUAUUUUUUGUUAGAUCUUAGUUCAUCCCUAUGUAACAGACAUUUCAGGGAAGGGAGGAGAAAAUAACAAAGCUACCUAUGAGCAAAGGUAAAUGGGAUUCCCUAUCCUUGUUUCCCAGUUUCGGUCAUGGUAUUGCUUAUCCAUUAUUAGUUAUCCACUGCUGGGUAACAAAUUACUCCCAAACUUAGCAGCUUCAAACAACAAUAAACAUGUAUUAUGUCACAUAGUUUGUUUCAGAACUUUGGGAGUGGCUUAGCUGAAUGGUUGUAGCUCCAGGUGCUUUUUGUGGUUGCAGUCAAGAAGUCAGCCCAUUCACACAGCUGCAGACAAAAGGACUCGGUUCCUUGCAGGCUGAGGCCUGAUUAGGCAGGGGGCCUGAGUGUCUCGCCACAUGGACCUCUCCAUAGGGCUGCUUUUCGUGGCAUGGCAGCUGACUCCCCUCAGAACAGAUGAUCAAAAGCAGCAAAAGAGAAGCCUCACAUGACUUUUGCCCUAGCCUUGGGAAUCACACUCUUCCAUUUCUACAAAAUCCUAUUGGUUACAUAGCAGCCCUAUCCAGUGUGGGAGGGAACUGUAUACAGGCAUGAAUACCAGGAGUGGAAAACCACUAGAGACUGGCUACCAUGGUCACUUACACACCAACAUGAAACUUUCAGCCUUUCCACCUCCUACCACUUAUACUAUAUUUAAUGUUUUUCCUGUUAUGGACUUUAAAAAAGAGGUCAUCAUAAGCAAUAAUAUCCAUGAAAUCAUGGAUAUCAUGUGAUCUUUAUAUUUAUUUUUAUUUUUAUAUAUUAAUUUCCAAAUAAAAAUAGAACUAUUAAAACAAAAUGUAUGUUAUCUUCUCAUAGCAAGUCAAGCAUCAGCAGUGUUAUACAUACUACCGUUUGUGAAGUACCACUAGCCACAAGCUCAAGCUGUUCUUGCUUGAGGGAGAUCUUUAUAAGCUCAGUGUAAGUCAGGAGGCAUUUGUUUCACAUGCCAUCCUCACUUACACUAAAUUCCCUAGAAGUCCAAGGUAAUAGUACUUGGGGAUAGGCUACAAUGCUACAACAAAGCCAUUUGCUAUGGUGGUUAUAACUGUCACUUGCCAGCCAUCGUUUGUAAUUACUUAAAACAGAAACAGUUUAAAGAAUUAAACCAGAAGGGUAAAGCAGAUUGUUCUCAGGACGUAAAACUAAACUCACCUUAUUAUGUAUUGUUACACUCCUGUCCACUUUCAUUACCAAAGGCAAUAAAGCAAUUUUAACUGUUCCCUGGAAUGUCACCAGCAAUAAGUGGUUUUGUUUUACUGUUCUGUUGAGCCGAAUAUAAUAGUUAUAUUUUAGAUCUCUUGCAACUGGGGAAUCUAGAAAUGCUUUCUGGUCUUUGUGAAUUUAUUAAAAUAUUUGAUUUGGGUAACCUUGGUGUUACUUUAAGUAUAGUCAGGGAAAUCAUGUCAUAAUCACUGAGUUUCAUUAGCGACUGGCCCUUUUUAAUCAUAAAAUUCAGUGUUCUGAAACCUAUUGCCUGUUCUGUCCUACACUUGUGACUUUGUCUCUUCUCUUGAUUGUACAGCCAUGAGCCCUCAUUAUGCUUUCCUGAGGGUGUUGUAUUUACUGGUGUCCUUCAUUGCCAAAGGUGACAAGGCAGGGAAUGUAAGAGUACAGCUGGCGGGAAGAAUCUCUAUUCCGAGUACACGGAGCAUGUCCCAUACUUCAGCCUGCAGAGCCCGUGACUACUAGCAGGGUCAAAAUUGUGUCAUUUAGGCUGGGCGCAGUGGCUUGCACCUGUAAUCCUGGCACUUUGGGAGGCAAAGGUGGGUGGAUCGCUUGAGCCCAGGAGUUUGAGACCAGCCUGGGCAACAUGGCGAAACCCCAUCUCUACUAAAACAUACACACACACACACACACACACACACACACACACACACACACAACUAGCCAGGCGUGGUAGCACAUGUCUGUGAUCCCAGCUAUGCAGGAGGCUGAGGCAUGAGAAUCUCUUGGACCCAGGAGGUGGAGGUUGCAGUGAGCCAAGAUCACGCCACGACACUAUAGCCUGGGUGACAGAGCUAGAUGAUUUCUCAAAAAAAAAAAAAAAAAAAAAAAGUCAUUUUACCAUAUGCCUGUCAGGUUUACAUUUUUUACUUCAUUUGAUAAGACAAUGAUUUAUUUUAUUUAAAUUCUAAAUUCAUAUCUGAAUUAAAAUAACUAUUAUAUUGUUAAGUAGGUUUUCUUCAUCAUUAUUUUUCAGAAAACUGGAGAAAGUGUAGGGAGCUCCAAAGCAGUACAUACACUUACCACACCAAUGCCAUUAUUUUCCAGAGUACUUCUUCCUCCUUCACCCAGUUUCUUUAUUAUGAAAUUUAACUUCCAAGAAUAAAGGUUUUUCCACUUACAACUAAUAUGCCCUAUUCUGCUUCAUGAAGAGUAGAGGGAGAAAUAGCACCCAGGACUAUUCUGGAGACAUUAAUACCUGAUCUCUGUUGCACUGUUUGUGAUUUGGGCAUAUUUUAAGGUAAUUUAUACAGUUAUUAUUUCCCUCUUUUUUGACAUCCAGGUAAGAAGUGCAAUGAAUCUUCAUGAUCAAAAACUCAUUAAAACUAAAUAAAAUAAAAAUAAAUGUACUUAAGUCUAUAAAUAAUCAUAGUGCUUUGUAGUUAAGGAAGUUAAGUAGUUAAGAAAAAAGAGUCCAGGCGGGGUGCAGUAGCUCACGCCUGUAAUCCCAGAACUUUGGGAAGCCAAGGUGGAUGGAUCACCUGAGGUCAGGAGUUCGAGACCAGCCUGGCCUCGAACAUGGUGAAACCCUGCCUCUACUAAAAAUACAAAAAUUAGCUGGGUGUGGUGACACACGCCUGUAAUCCCAGCUACCUGGGAGGCUGAGGCAGGAGAAUCGCUUGAACCUGGGAGGCAGAGGUUGCAGUGAGCCAAGAUCGCACCAUUGCACUCCAUCCUGGGUGACAGAGCAAGACUCCAUCUCAAAAAAAGAAAGAAAAAAGAAAAAGUGCAAUUAGAGCUGGAGUUAAAAGUGGGGAGUCAUGGUCAGGAGUUGUUCUUCAUGUCUCUCAAACACCAUGUGUUUUCUACCAUCCUUGUUUCUCCCUUUGCAUCUCCACUCUCCAGUGACUUUCUCUGCUUCCCACUGGACCCCCACUUUUACAAUACAUAACUAUUUCAAUGCCAGCCAUUAUCUAACAUUUCUCGGUAUGUCUCCGUUCAAAUUAGAGAAAGAAAGAGGUCUGAAUGUUAUUUAUACUUUCUCCAUAGAGAUUCUAAGGAAGACAAUAUUAAUGACAGUUCUUUGUUUACUGAAUGGGACGAGGAAUGUGCCAAUAAAAGAUUAUAUAAGAAAUGAGAUUUAAAAUUUUUCAGGGAGAAGGAAAAGUUAAGAGAAAGAUGAAUCAUCUUGAGAGACAAUAAGACAAUUUGAUGAGUUGCUGGAAAUGAUACAGUGUUUAAAUGAGAACUUCUGUUACAUGUUUUUGUAUAUUGUGUGAUAGAAUUCUCUUUUGUUUCCUCAUCGAACCUUCUGUAAUAUCUCUUUUGGCUAACCUUUGUGAGGCCAAGAUUGCCUUCUGUGCCUGUGAUUAAGAAGUGUUAAGUCCAGGUAUAGCUUGAGAAAGCACAGAGACCACACUCAGUAAUGUAGUCACACCUAUGGAAUAGAAAAACACCCAGACUCUUUAGUUUCCUAAACUAACAGCAUUACUGUUAGUUUUGCAGCAUUACUGACAAGAAAUCAUUCUCUCAUACCCCAAAUCCAGCCAAGAUGAGCUCGUUUCUAUAGGCCCCUUGUUUUUACAUAUUUCUGUGCCUUUGCUCAUGUUAUUCUACCUCCUCAUCAAAAACCAUUUCAGCAAUUGUGGAAACUACUCUGCAUCAACACCCAACCCAAAUGCUACUCUUUGUAGCUAAAAUUAACCUCUCCUUCUCAACUCUCAUAGCACUUGGUUUGGUACUCAUAUAAUACCUCUAUCACAUUUGCCUUGCAUUAAACUUAAUGAUUGUAUGCUUCAUAUAUCCUAUCAGAAUAUAAGCAACAUCUUAUAUACCUCAGAUUCUCCAAAGAAGCCAGGCUCAGUGCAUGACAUAUAUGAACACUCAGUAAAUGUUUCUUGAAUUAAAUGAAAAGGUCAGUAACUCAGUUCGCUGUGUCUUUUUUUCCAGAUUUUUACAGUACAACAGUAGAAAAUAGUAAGCUAAAACAUGUACACUUAAAUAAAUGCAUUUUCAUAAUGAAGACAUUUUGGCUUCUUACUGGUAAAUAAUGAGCUUUCCUCUACCUGCCAUGUAGUCUGUUCUGAAGAUAAAUAGAAGUAUGAAUAUGCAAACACUUUGGGAAGAGAAAACAUGCUACAUAAAUAAGAGAGUGUUUAUUGCUGUAACUACUACAUGGAGUCCAUCCUCAUAACUCAGUGUUUCUCUGUAUUAUAG
rnacentral:lncRNA from 1 species